CAGUCGCCGCGGGAAUACGAAGGGUGCAAGCGUUAAUCGGAAUUACUGGGCGUAAAGCGUGCGUAGGCGGUUUGUUAAGUCUGUUGUGAAAUCCCCGGGCUCAACCUGGGAAUGGCAAUGGAUACUGGCAAGCUAGAGUGUGUCAGAGGAUGGUGGAAUUCCCGGUGUAGCGGUGAAAUGCGUAGAGAUGUGGAGGAAUACCGAUGGCGAAGGCAGCCCCCUGGGCCAAUACUGACGCUCAUGCACGAAAGCGUGGGGAGCAAACAGGAUUAGAUACCCCGGUAGUCCCUGUCUCUUAUAA
rnacentral:rRNA from 1 species